rnacentral:rRNA from 1 species
GACGAACGCUGGCGGCGUGCCUAAUACAUGCAAGUCGAACGAGAGCGACCGGUGCUUGCACUGGUCAAUCUAGUGGCGAACGGGUGAGUAACACGUGGGUAACCUGCCCAUCAGAGGGGGAUAACAUUCGGAAACGGAUGCUAAAACCGCAUAGGUUCUUCGAACCGCCAUGGUUUGAAGAGGAAAAGAGGCGCAAGCUUCUGCUGAUGGAUGGACCCGCGGUGCAUUAGCUAGUUGGUGAGGUAACGGCUCACCAAGGCCGUGAUGCAUAGCCGACCUGAGAGGGUGAUCGGCCACAUUGGGACUGAGACACGGCCCAAACUCCUACGGGAGGCAGCAGUAGGGAAUCUUCCGCAAUGGACGCAAGUCUGACGGAGCAACGCCGCGUGAGUGAAGAAGGUUUUCGGAUCGUAAAACUCUGUUGUUAGAGAAGAACAAGUGCUAGAGUAACUGUUAGCGCCUUGACGGUAUCUAACCAGAAAGCCACGGCUA